GGCGGCGGGUUAGUAACGCGUGGGAACAUACCCUUUUCUACGGAAUAGCCUCGGGAAACUGAGAGUAAUACCGUAUACGCCCUUCGGGGGAAAGAUUUAUCGGAGAAGGAUUGGCCCGCGUUUGAUUAAAUAGUUGGUGGGGUAAUGGCCUACCAAGUCUACGAUCAAUAGCUGGUUUGAGAGGAUGAUCAGCAACACUGGGACUGAGACACGGCCCAGACUCCUACGGGAGGCAGCAGUGGGGAAUCUUAGACAAUGGGCGCAAGCCUGAUCUAGCCAUGCCGCGUGAGGUGACGAAGGCCUUAGGGUCGUAAAGCUCUUUCGCCAGAGAUGAUAAAUGACAGUAUCU
rnacentral:rRNA from 1 species